UGGCUCAGGACGAACGCUGGCGGCGUGCCUAACACAUGCAAGUCGAGCGAUGAAAUCCCUUCGGGGAUGGAUUAGCGGCGGACGGGUGAGUAACACGUGGGUAACCUGCCUCAAAGAGGGGGAUAGCCUCCCGAAAGGGAGAUUAAUACCGCAUAACAUUAGUUUUUCGCAUGAAGAACUAAUUAAAGGAGCAAUCCGCUUUGAGAUGGACCCGCGGCGCAUUAGCUAGUUGGUGAGGUAACGGCUCACCAAGGCGACGAUGCGUAGCCGACCUGAGAGGGUGAUCGGCCACAUUGGAACUGAGACACGGUCCAGACUCCUACGGGAGGCAGCAGUGGGGAAUAUUGCACAAUGGGCGAAAGCCUGAUGCAGCAACGCCGCGUGAGUGAUGAAGGCCUUCGGGUUGUAAAGCUCUGUCUUUGGGGACGAUAAUGACGGUACCCAAGGAGGAAGCCACGGCUAACUACGUGCCAGCAGCCGCGGUAAUACGUAGGUGGCGAGCGUUGUCCGGAUUUACUGGGCGUAAAGGAUGCGUAGGCGGAUAUUUAAGUGAGAUGUGAAAUACCCGGGCUUAACUUGGGUGCUGCAUUUCAAACUGGAUAUCUAGAGUGCGGGAGAGGAGAAUGGAAUUCCUAGUGUAGCGGUGAAAUGCGUAGAGAUUAGGAAGAACACCAGUGGCGAAGGCGAUUCUCUGGACCG
rnacentral:rRNA from 1 species